GUGAUUAAUACGGAGCCUCAUUAUUGGCCAAGGUGAAGAGAAUAAGAGACCAAGUCUUCUAGGAAAAAGGUCAUUCACAAUGUACUUUACAGUGCUCCCCUUCUUAAAAAAGGCUGAAUCUCAUGGUAUAGUCCAGACUGGCCUGGCCUCACACUUUCUGUGACUCUUCCACAUCUUUCUCCUGAGUGCUGAGCUUACAGG
rnacentral:lncRNA from 1 species